GGCAGUGUGGCAUAGUGGUUAAGGAGUUGGGCUCGUAACCCAAAAGUUUCAUGUUUGAUUCCCGGGUGGGCCA